GAUGAAGAACGUAGCGAAAUGCGAUAAGUAAUGCGAAUUGCAGAAUUCAGUGAGUCAUCGAAUCUUUGAACGCACAUUGCGCCCGCCAGUAUUCUGGCGGGCAUGCCUGUCCGAGCGUCAUUUCAACCCUCGAACCCCUCCGGGGGGUCGGCGUUGGGGAUCGGCCUUCCCUUAGCGGGUGGCCGUCUCCGAAAUACAGUGGCGGUCUCGCCGCAGCCUCUCCUGCGCAGUAGUUUGCACACUCGCAUCGGGAGCGCGGCGCGUCCACAGCCGUUAAACACCCAACUUCUGAAAUGUUGACCUCGGAUCAGGUAGGAAUACCCGCUGAACUUAAGCAUAUCAAUAAGCGGAGGA
rnacentral:misc_RNA from 1 species